AACAAAACCAGCAGCCCAACCCCAAACUUGGGUUUUAAUCUCAGCUCCAAGUUAGAGCGUGAGCUAGUUGCAUGAGUCUAGAGGUAAGUUCCUUAUUUAUAAGCAGUAAACACUUAGCUUCAGAGAGUGUGUCCCAGUCGCUUACCACUGUAAAAGUUAAGGAACUGUUUCAUUCCUGUGUGCUGCUCAGGAAGUGACAGGCACCUGGGAAACCCACAAAGUAUAGUUUUGUAAGAAGUUGCUAAGCGUCCCGAGGAGACAGUGCCUGACUUCUUGCCAGUCCUUGAGGUAGCGAUGUGGGAAAUUACAACACAAGGUCUAGCAAGUAAUGUUUUCUGUUUUGCUCCUGGAGACCACAGUUGCUUAAAUUUCAUUCUCAACGUUUACCACUCCUCAGCAGUGCUGUUCUGCAGCGAGAGGAAGUUGGGUCUGGAGGUAUUAGUCAGGCUUUAUUAAAGCACACUUGAGGUGAGAACAGAAGCAUAUCAGAGUGGCAAGUAGAGCAUCCUGGGAAUUUGGCUAUGGGGAUUACGCAUUGAUGAACAAAUGUAUUCACAAAACUAUUUUCCUGGGAUCCUGUGCAUCCCCAUACUCUUCCACUGCCUGGAGAAGGACCAGUAUGUGAUCUCGGUUAUCUCAGUCUUGGCUAGAGAAGCAGUCAACACAGAGGCUCAUAACUGGGCUAUGUGCCGUGGAACAGCUUCUUGUUCAGACACUUUCUAAGGGCAAAAAAGGGCAAGUAGAAAACGACGGUGGAAAAAGCAUUUGGAGCAGGUUAGUCAUAGAGGAGAAAGUGUAAGUACAGUACUAUUUGCUAAGACCACAAUAGGAAGUGUGAUUGUGGUGUCCAUGCGUCCUUGUAUUGUAGAAGGAGAGGGCAGUGUUAAGUGACUGAAGCCUUCCUUUGAUACUUGUUGAUCCUUUCUAUAAGGAGGGAUGCCUCUUACACAGGCAGGGCUUAGCAGGUCGCCUGUCAGGACAAGCCCAGAGGUGGCAUUACUUGCUGUUUGCUGAUCAAUGAGUCUUUGGAGCUCUAAGAACUCAGGCUCAAGGAGUGACUCUGGGAAGAUGAGUUGUGUGGCUCUGCCCUGGAUUCCACAGUCUAGCACAGGACGGUGAUUUAGUGCCUCGUGACUCAAAAUCCCCAAAGCUUGCUUACUUUUCCUCAGCCUGCAGUGCCCAGAAUGGAGCUGUUGGCAAAUCGCAGUCCACACCCCCACUUUUCAAUCUUUUCGCUAAUUUCUUACUACUUCACUUGAGAGAGUCCCAGAAGAACGGUGUGAUGAUUCAUCAGCCCUACUUCCUCAUUUCUGCUGACAGAGAGCUAACUUUGUCUCCAUUUCCAUGGUCGUCCCAAAAGAGCAAAAACAAAACAACUUUAAAAAAAUUUUAAUUUGCUACGUUUGGUGCGAAGUGACUUCCUGUGAGCUGGAGAGGCCAAAGGCUGGAGAGACCCCACUGUAGCCCAUUCUAUGACUGAGAGAUCCGAGACCCCAAGAGCCUACAAGAUUUCCUGUUUCUACACAACCGCUCAGUAGCAUACAGAUUUGGGCAGGGAUCUGCUAGUUUUAGGCUGUGAUUUUCUGUAACUUUGUGGAUGAUAAAUAGAUCGAAGCUUAUCUGUGCUAUGUCACAAGGAAACACAUAACCAUAAAACUUUCUGGUGAGAGCA
rnacentral:sRNA from 1 species